GACGAACGCUGGCGGCGUGCCUAAUACAUGCAAGUCGAACGCAGUGGGGACGGGUGAGUAACACGUGGGUAACCUCCCAUCAGAGGGGAUAACACUUGGAAACAGGUGCUAAACCGAUACGGAUUGAUGGACCCGCGGUGCAUUAGCUGGUUGGUGAGGUAACGGCCCACCAAGGCCACGAUGCAUAGCCGACCUGAGAGGGUGAUCGGCCACACUGGAACUGAGACACGGCCCUGACUCCUCCGGGAGGCAGCAGUAGGGAAUCUUCGGCAAUGGACGAAAGUCUGACCGAGCAACGCCGCGUGAGUGAAGAAGGUUUUCGGAUGGUAAACCUCUGUUGUUAGAGAGGCGGUAUCUAACGAAAAAGCCACGGCUAACUACGUGCCAGCAGCCGCGGUAAUUG
rnacentral:rRNA from 1 species